rnacentral:misc_RNA from 1 species
AAGUCGUAACAAGGUUUCCGUAGGUGAACCUGCGGAAGGAUCAUUACCGAGAAAAUGCCCUUCAGGGUAUAUCUCCCACCCUUUGUUUAUAAUACCAUUGUUGCUUUGGCAGGCCCGUCUUUGGACCGCUGGCUACCGCUGGUCAGUGCCUGCCAGAGGACCCCAAAACCUUGUAAUUUUGUCGUCCGAGUAUCAUAUAAUAAGUUAAAACUUUCAACAACGGAUCUCUUGGUUCUG